GUCUUGUAAUUGGAAUGAUGGUGACUUAAACCCUCACCAGAGUACCAAUUGAAGGGCAGUCUAGGUGCCAACAGCCGCGGUAAUUCCAGCUCCAAUAGCGUAUAUUAAACUUGUUGCAGUUAAAAAGCUCGUAGUUGAAUUUCAGCGUUUCGCGUGAGCCUUUUUUGGCCCGUCUCGUUUCGCUUUUUUUAUUACUUUGAGAAAAUUAGAGUGUUUCAAGCAGGCUUUUGUCUUGAAUACUUGAGCAUGGAAUAAUAGAGUAGGACCUUGGUUCUAUUUUGUUGGUUUUGUUACCUUGGUAAUGGUUAAUAGGAACGGUUGGGGGCAUUCGUAUUUAACUGUCAGAGGUGAAAUUCUUAGAUUUGUUAAAGACGAACUACUGCGAAAGCAUUUGCCAAGGACGUUUCCAUUAAUCAAGAACGAAAGUUAGGGGAUCGAAGACGAUCAGAUACCGUCGUAGUCCUAACCAUAAACUA
rnacentral:rRNA from 1 species